CUACAUGUCUAGGCAAUGCCUGCCUGAAAACUGCCUGCUUAUGGAGAGGCUCAGUCCUUGGCCAGAUGGAGCUCUCGUCCAGCGAGGGAACCCCAAUCAUCAAUAACAGCUGUGGGCCCCAGGAGCUCCCUGCAAAAGCAGAAAUACCAGCUGAUAUGAGAAACUUCCCACUGACUGCAGUGAAAGCAAGAAACACGAGACGGGAGUGUGAAGAUGGAGAAACUGCUCUGCGACAGGCCACGACAGCAUCUGGAACCUUCUGUGAUCAGCUGCCAGUAUCCUUUAAUGAGAACUCGUGUGUUCCUUGAUAUCUCUCUGGGAGCAUCUCAAGAGGAAGGAGAUGUUCGCCAAGAUGGGAUUUUCCCAAAAGAAUUCUUUAGAAAAAGUGCCAGAACUUUUACCUUCCACCUUGACAGUCCCCAGAGACAAACUGAAAGGACCUCGCUUAAAUGCCUCAUCCGAAGGGUAUUUGCAAUGCUGGCUUCAUCAUUCAAAGCAGGAAAGGCCUUUGUCAUGGUCAAAUGGCUUUAAUGUGUUCUGAAUGCUACAUAAAUUCAAAGUUGAUGGCUCAUUUAUUUGUUGGAUUGAAGUUUUAUA